ACUUGGGGGCUCUCUCAAGUGGAUGAAAGCAUGAUUCAUGCUCUGGACAGGUUCACUGAAUGGCUUGCUAAUGGGAUUGUCUUUGAUAGAUGUACGACUGUCUGACCCACCAAAUAUUGAUGAUAUCCCCCAGCUUGAACUAACAUUUGAUCCUGAUGUUGUUGUUUUCUCUUCUGCAGCAGGCCGAGCAACCUGAUCAGGAACAAUUCCAUUAGCAUGUCUAGCAAGAAUAGCACGCGACUUCAGACUUCUUUCAGAUGCUGGCGCUUUCUCUAGAUCCACUCCAUCUUUCUGCCUCGGAGCAGGUACAGUAAUCCUGUUGGACUUGACCUGCUGCAUUGCCAUCUCCACAGCUUUACUCCCCCCAACAAAAUUUGGAUGUGAAGUGUUUAUGUAAUCCAUCUCCAUCUCA
rnacentral:misc_RNA from 1 species